GACGAACGCUGGCGGCGUGCCUAAUACAUGCAAGUCGAACGCUGAAGGCGGAGCUUGUUUCUCUGGACGAGUUGCGAAAGGGUGAGUAACGCGUAGGUAACCUGCCUGGUAGCGGGGGAUAACUAUUGGAAACGAUAGCUAAUACCGCAUAAUAUUAGAUGUUGCAUGACAUUUGCCUUAAAGUUGCAAUUGCAUCACUACUAGAUGGACCUGCGUUGUUUUAGCUAGUUUGUGUGGUAACGGCGCAACAAAGCAACGGUACAUAGCCGACCUGAGAGGGGGGUCGGGCAAACUGGGACUGGGACACGGCCCAGACUCCUACGGGGAGCAGCCAGAGGGGAACUUCGGCAAUGGACGGAAGUCUGACCGAGGAACGCCGCGUGGGGGGAGAAGGUUUUCGGGUCGUAAAGCUCUGUUGUAAGGGGAGGAAGAGUGUGGGAGGGGAAAGUUCACACUGUGACGGUAUCUAACCAGAAAGGCACGGCUAACUACGUG
rnacentral:rRNA from 1 species